rnacentral:sRNA from 1 species
CGGACCCAGACAGGAGGAACCAUAAUGGCGGGGAAGCUGGCUGUGGAGCGAGGCUGGGCCAUCAACGUGGUUUCUGUUUGAGCGUGUGGAGGGCAUCUCCAGGGCUACCAUCAUUGAUCUUGAUGCCCAUCAGGGCAAUGGGCAUGAGCGAGACUUCAUGGACGACAAGCGUGUGUACAUCAUGGAUGUCUACAACCG